AUUGCCUCAGUAACGGCGAGUGAAGCGGCAACAGCUCAAAUUUGAAAUCUGGCCCUAGGCCCGAGUUGUAAUUUGCAGAGGAUGCUUUUGGUGAGGUGCCUUCCGAGUUCCCUGGAACGGGACGCCAUAGAGGGUGAGAGCCCCGUCUGGUUGGACACCGAGCCUCUGUAAAGCUCCUUCGACGAGUCGAGUAGUUUGGGAAUGCUGCUCAAAAUGGGAGGUACAUGUCUUCUAAAGCUAAAUACCGGCCAGAGACCGAUAGCGCACAAGUAGAGUGAUCGAAAGAUGAAAAGCACUUUGAAAAGAGAGUUAAACAGCACGUGAAAUUGUUAAAAGGGAAGCGUUUAUGACCAGACUUGGGCCGGUUGAUCAUCCAGUGUUCUCACUGGUGCACUCUGCCGGUCUAGGCCAGCAUCAGUUCGCUGCGGGGGAUAAAGACGUCGGGAAUGUGGCUCCUCGGAGUGUUAUAGCCCUUCGUGUAAUACCCUGUGGUGGACUGAGGUUCGCGCACUGCAAGGAUGCUGGCGUAAUGGUCAUCAACGACCCGUCUUGAAACACGGACCAAGGAGUCGUCUUCGUAUGCGAGUGUUCGGGUGUCAAACCCCUACGCGUAAUGAAAGUGAACGCAGGUGAGAGCUUCGGCGCAUCAUCGACCGAUCCUGAUGUUCUCGGAUGGAUUUGAGUAAGAGCAUACGGGGCCGGACCCGAAAGAAGGUGAACUAUGCCUGUAUAGGGUGAAGCCAGAGGAAACUCUGGUGGAGGCUCGCAGCGGUUCUGACGUGCAAAUCGAUCGUCAAAUAUGGGCAUGGGGGCGAAAGACUAAU
rnacentral:rRNA from 1 species